rnacentral:rRNA from 1 species
GGCUCAGAUUGAACGCUGGCGGCAUGCCUUACACAUGCAAGUCGAACGGCAGCACGGGAGCUUGCUCCUGGUGGCGAGUGGCGAACGGGUGAGUAAUACAUCGGAACGUACCCAGGAGUGGGGGAUAACGUAGCGAAAGUUACGCUAAUACCGCAUAUUCUGUGAGCAGGAAAGCGGGGGAUCGCAAGACCUCGCGCUCUUGGAGCGGCCGAUGUCGGAUUAGCUAGUUGGUGAGGUAAAAGCUCACCAAGGCGACGAUCCGUAGCAGGUCUGAGAGGAUGAUCUGCCACACUGGGACUGAGACACGGCCCAGACUCCUACGGGAGGCAGCAGUGGGGAAUUUUGGACAAUGGGGGCAACCCUGAUCCAGCCAUGCCGCGUGAGUGAAGAAGGCCUUCGGGUUGUAAAGCUCUUUCGGCGGGGAAGAAAUGGCAACGGCUAAUAUCCGUUGUUGAUGACGGUACCCGCAUAAGAAGCACCGGCUAACUAC